GUGUCAGCAGCCGCGGUAACACGGGGGGAGCAAGCGUUGUUCGGAAUCACUGGGCGUAAAGGGCGUGUAGGCGGUCAGGUAAGUGGGAUGUGAAAUGCCCCGGCUCACCCGGGGACCGGCAUCCCAAACUGCCUGGCUUGAGUACGGGAGAGGAUGGGGGAAUUCCUGGUGUAGCGGUGAAAUGCGUAGAUAUCAGGAGGAACACCGGUGGCGAAGGCGCCCAUCUGGCCCGAUACUGACGCUGAGGCGCGAAAGCUAGGGGAGCAAACGGGAUUAGAAACCCCGGUAGUCC
rnacentral:rRNA from 1 species